UUCCAUGAGCACUUCGUUCCCUGCCGUGUAGUCUUCGUUGAUUCGGAAAGAUGGUGGUUGUCUGUUUAGCCAUUUCAAUCUGCUAUUGAUCAUGCUCAUUCUUGUUAUAUUCAGUUAUAUUGGAAACACCAUCUGAUUCAGUUAUAUUCUUGAUCAUGCUCAUGCUCAUCCUUAUUCAAAUAAGAAUACUUCUGUUUGGAGAGCUCGGGUGUCAGCUGUGUGGAAGCACCAGCUGAUUUGUAACUGGUCGGAAGGUCCUUGGGGUUGGGUGCGGCAACUCGCGACUCGAAGACAUUUCGUGCAUGUGCUCCCCUGCGCUUGGUGACCAAUACAUCUACUCCGUCGUGAACAUGUGCUUCGUGUCAUACAGGUCGCCGCCAAGGGUGAGCUCGUGCAGCGGUACAGGUUAUGUGCAUUAUUGAUCAGCCAAUCUUGAGAGAGAGAUGGGUUGGCGUGAAUGGGAAGAAAACUACAUUGAAUGGACAAGAAGUAUGCCCUCAACUUUUUCAUGGUAU